AGAAUUAGAGAUCUUUCGACCGUUUGGUCUCGUAAAACCCAGAAAUCACCACCGACUUAAGAGAAACCGAAGACUCUCUCUUCGACGCAACGGUCCGAUUUCGUUUGUUGAAAUUCAAAACAAGGCUUUUCUGGAUUUCGUGUGUUCUCUCUCGAACGAUCAAUCUAGAAGAUCGUCGAUGAAGCAAAAGACGGAGGAGGACGAAGAGGAACUCGAAAUUGAAGCCUAACAUGUUGAUGGAUAAAACUAAUGGUUGCUUUCAAGGGAGUGAUCCCAAUCCAUAUAUGAUAAGGGCUCUACAUAUCUUUACCCUCUUAAUUUGGCUCAUCCUUGUUUUCUUUAGUAAACAGUUUAGAAGAACUUUUUAGAUGAUUGAUUUUGCUUUAAGUAUGUUAUAACAAGUUUUAUGUAUGUUAUCUUCAGCUAUCAAAUAACUUUAUUAAGUGUAGAGAGAAAAUCAUGUCUCUAUCUCAGGUCUAUCUAGAGGUGUAUUUCUAGUAAAUUUUUCUGUAAUUUGUUUUCUUUUCUGAUGAUCAUCUGUUUUACAGGUUUAUAGUAAAUUUUUCUGUAAUGAAGGUUCAUUUCUUACCUGAUUGUUCAGAAUAAGGUUCUGUUAAUUCAAAAGCCCUCUGUUAUAUACAAGUUUUUGGUUUUGGAAUCCAUAUUUCCUUAACCUUACAUGGAACUUGGUGUAGAUACAUUAACUGGCUAUAGUCAUUUUUGAAUUUUUUCAAUGUGCCUUUUUAAUCAAUCGCAAUCAUUAAGUUCUCUUCUGUUUAAUCUGUUAAAUAAUCGCAGUGUAAUAGUUGUUUGUGUUGCUUGGCUAAGACAGUGGCAGUGGCACCAUUUCUGUUAAACUACAAUGGAGCAUGUUUUCGACAAUAUCCUGGACCAUGAAGAUCUGCUUGAGAGUUAGUUCAUUUCUUGCCUCAUUGCUUGAUAGAAGUUGUUGGCCAUACGUUUUAACACCCAAUACAAGACUACUUAGACACGCCCUUGAAUUGGCCGGUGGAGUUCUUGAGGCUACCGAGAGAGAUAAUAGAGCUAUGGCACGUGUGUAAGGUCUCUGUGACCCACAUAAGUCACUUGUACUUAGAGGUAGAAGUUUUGUAGACUUGAGUACCUCAGAGAAUCUUUUGCACAAAAUUGCAACAAUGGACACAAUCUGGCCUUGAUCUCCAGUUUUUCGCAGAUUUCACUCAAACUUCUCGAAUCAAGUAACUAUAUAACCAGACAUCAAGCUAUUUAGAUUUAACUCAGAUGGAAUUUACGAACACCUUGACUCAGUUGAUAGGAUCAUGGGAAUGGCUUUCAAAGCAUUAUAAAAUCUCUCAAGGAAGCCGAAGCUCUGGUUGGAGUUUACAGAGACGUCGAGACGAGGAAGCUAAAGGACCGCUUGAAGCCUACACGACUCGUAUCUGCCUACCUAAUCUUUGCAAACAAGAGGAGCAUUUUGGAGAGGUUGCAAAGAUGAACAAAGAAGAGUGGAAGAACUUGCGUGCGGAAGGAAGGCUCCCUUAGAAAAGGAGAUAUAUAUGCGGAAGGAUAUAAAAGGCUGAAGGCAGAAGAAGCCAUGAGCCAGAAGAAGAGGAUAAAGAAGCUCUCCAAGUUCUCAAGAAAGAGAACAUUGUUGCUUGCUCUGCUGAUAAUUCUCAGGAAAUGAUUUUCAGUAUACUACGAUCAACGAGAAGAUGGUGACAAGAACAUUGUUACUUGCUCUACUGAAUCCCUUGUUAAUCAAGGUCAAUAGUCAGGAUAUACAUAAAAUGAUAAAGAGUAAAAAGAACUACAACUUUCAGUAAAGACAUCGGAAGUCGAAGCAAUCUACAGUCUAUCACCAACCAUAUGGCCAAGGUUAUAAAUGAACUGGAUCUUGUUAACUUCGCACAAUGUUUACCAAGGUAUCAGCUCCUGCUUGAUGAUUCUUCCCUUGUGUGGAUAAUAUGGUGGGAUUUGUUUUGCUGCCAAUACAACCAGAGGAACAUUUUGGAGGUUGCGAAGAUGAACGAAGAAGAGUGGAAGAACUUGUCUGCGGAACAAAAGGCUCCCUAAGAAAAGGUGGUUUUAUGGAAGGAUAUAGAAGGCUGAAGGUAGAAGAAGCCAUGCGCGAGGAGAAAAGGAUAAAGAAGCUCUCAAAAUUCUCAAAAAAAAAGAAAACCAACAAUGUCACUAAGGAAACCUUUGCUAGUUAAAUCUUGAGGUUUGUUGUUCCAGGACCAUGAAGAUUUGCUUGGGAGUUGGUUCAUUUCUUACCUGGUUGUUCAGAAUAAGGGCCAUGAAGAUCAAGAUCUGCUUGGGAGUUAGUUCAGGAACAUGAAGCUCUCUGUUAUAUAGAAGUUUGUGUUUUGGAAUCCAACUUUUCUUAACUUAACAUGGGACUUGGUUUAGAUACUUUCAUUGGCUAUAGUCAUUUUUGAUUUUUUCAAUGUGCCUUCUUAAUCAAUCGAAAUCUGUAAGUUGUUGGUCUCUUCUUGCAGGGAACCUUUGCUAGUUCAACCCCAGCUCUUCUGUUUUAAUCUUGAGCUAUAGCCAGCUUAAACAGAAACCUCAAUUUUUUCCCUAACUCGAGCUCUCUCGGUUUCCUCACUUCUGGAUGUGAUUUUCUAAGCAGAUCUUUCUUGGCUGUUUGGAUAAAUGACGCAGCGUAAUAGUUGUUCGUGUUGCUUGGAUAAGACCGUGGCAAUGGCACCGUUUGUGUUGAAAUACAACCAAGCGCGUUUUCCGAAAUAUCCAGAAUCCCUUGUUAAUCAAGUUCAAUAGCCAUGAUAUCUCAAGGUAGAGGACACCAAGGGGAUUCAAGAAUUUUUGUUAAUAACAGGGGUCAUGAUAGAGUUAAAAGUAUUACAACUUUCGGUAAAGACAUCGGAAGUCGAAACAACCUACUGUCUACCACCAACCAUUUGGCAAAGGCUAUAAAUGAACUAGAUCUUGCUAAUUGCGCACAAUGUUCACCAAGUUAUCAGCUCCUGCCAGAUGAUUUCGAGGUGUAAGGAUCAAUCAUUCCAACAAAAGGGUAAAAACCAGUACGAAGAAAGCUUGUUUCAUGUGUGGAUGAUAGGUAUGAAGAAAGAUUGUUUCAUGUCAGGAUAUAGUCUUCCCUUGUGUGGAUAAUAUGGUGGAUGAUGAUUUUUGCGGAUGGAUAAAACUAAUGGUUGCUUGCAAGGGAGUGAGCCCAGUCCAUAUUUGGUUUGUUGUUACAGGACCAUGGAGAUCUGCUUGGGAUUUGGUUCUUACCUGAUUGUUCUAAAUAAAGAAACCUCGAUUUUUUCCAUAACUCAAGCUCUCUCGGUUUCCUCACUUCUGGUAACAUCUGGACUUUAGUGCAGUGGUGACCUAAAGAAGCUUUGGUUGGAGUUUUUAGAGACCUCGGGACUAGAGACGAGCUAAAGGAUCCCUUGAAGACUUAACAACCCAUAUCUGCCUACGUAAUCUAUGCUAACGAGAGAAGAGUGCUGCUUUACAAGAAGAUAAUCAAUUUUUGUGGUAAGUAAUGUAAAAUGGAAUUAUUAUAAUCUCUCAAGGACAGCGAGCUAUAACAAUCCCAAAGCUCUGGUUGGAGUUAUAGAGACAUCGAGACGAGGAAGCUAAAGGAAUCCAUAUUUUAAUAGUAAUAAAAUUGAUAGCAUUAUCAUUUACCAACACAUUAAGGACCGGCUUGACGCAGAUCAUGGGACCAAGGAAGCUAAAGGAUCUCUUGAAGACUUAACAACCCGUAUCUGCCUACGUAAUCUAUGGUAACGAGAUUAUUAUAUUUACGAGAAGAUAAACAAUUUUUGAGGUAAGUGAUGUAAAAUGCAAUUAUUAUAGUCUCUUGUCUUACUGUUAUUUGAACUCUUGAAGAAGCUCUCCAAAUUCUCAAAAAGAGAAAACCGAGAAUGUCACUAAGGUUAGUAUCUUACGCUUGACAUAAUUGUGUCUUUUGCUGUUCUUACCAAUGGGUAAUAUAAUGUUGAAUGUGGAUUGUGAUCAUUACUUCAACAACAAUAAAUGAGGUCGUUUUUUCUCCACUUGAGCAAAUGUCUUUGUAAAUUUUGGCUCAACAUUAUAUGCAUGCAGACUUGGUAGCUGGACUAGAGAAGGAUAAAGCACUAGUCUCUACUCAUUCUGCAUUAGAUUUGUUCGUCUCAAUAAGAUUCUUUUUACCCAACAAAACAAGGUUUUUUUUUUAAUCUAGAAUUAUUUGUUCUCGGUGGACGACUCUUAAUGCAUAAGAGAAAAAGCCUUAAGGGGAGAAGUACAAGGCAGAGAAGGAAGCUUAUCUCAAGGUUAUUACAAAGGAGAAGUGAUAGAAAGAAGCUAUGAAACUUCUGGAAGAUGAGCAAAUGCAGGAAACUACGAUGGAGCUGCACAUAAAUUGUUCCAAAUAUGUCUUGGAGUCUGAGCAUGUGAAGCAGUUCUUUGAUUACAUACAGCUUCCUAUUUUCAACCAAAACAGAAAAGCAAACUCUUAAAAACUCGUCCACGCUAGUACUUAUCACUCCCUCUCAUUAAAAGCCUUUCUCUUGGCAGGUGGCAUACAGAGAGAGAUUCACAACCGUUAAGAGACAUGAAGCUAACUAGGAAGUCGAAGUUGUGGAGCAGACUUUGUCAAAUCAGCUGAGAGAAGUCUGGCAACACAUCAAGAAUGAAAAGUUGUUCCAGGGAGAAGGAUGCCAACAACUUGGUUCAAAUGGCGGAUGCUACGCCAGAAAAGUGGUAGAGCUUCAAUAAGCCAGAACUGAACAGAGAAGACUGCUGCUGAAAAUGACAAGCAAAUUAUUUAUCGCUGGGUUAGUUUUGAUUUACUUGGUUCAACCAGAAUAUGCUUUCGUAAAUCACCUAAGUCCUUGUCAUAUAACUGUCAUGUAGGAAAUGGAAUAGAAGUUGUUGGCCAUACGUUUUAACACCCAAUAUAAGACUACUUAGACACGCUCUUGAAUUGGCCGGUGGAGUUCUUGAGGCUACCGAGAUAGAUAAUAGAGCUAUGGCACGUGUGUAAGGUCUCUGUGACCCACAUAAGUCACUUGUUCUUAGAGGUAGAAGUUUUGUAGACUUGAGUACCUCAGAGAAUCUUUUGCACAAAAUUGCAACAAUGGACACAAUCUGGCCUUGAUCUCCAGUUUUUCGCAGAUUUCACUCAAACUUCUCGAAUCAAGUAACUAUAUAACCAGACAUCAAGCUAUUUAGAUUUAACUCAGAUGGAAUUUACGAACACCUUGACUCAGUUGAUAGGAUCAUGGGAAUGGCUUUCAAAGCAUUAUAAAAUCUCUCAAGGAAGCCGAAGCUCUGGUUGGAGUUUACAGAGACGUCGAGACGAGGAAGCUAAAGGACCGCUUGAAGCCUACACGACUCGUAUCUGCCUACCUAAUCUUUGCAAACAAGAGGAGCAUUUUGGAGAGGUUGCAAAGAUGAACAAAGAAGAGUGGAAGAACUUGCGUGCGGAAGGAAGGCUCCCUUAGAAAAGGAGAUAUAUAUGCGGAAGGAUAUAAAAGGCUGAAGGCAGAAGAAGCCAUGAGCCAGAAGAAGAGGAUAAAGAAGCUCUCCAAGUUCUCAAGAAAGAGAACAUUGUUGCUUGCUCUGCUGAUAAUUCUCAGGAAAUGAUUUUCAGUAUACUACGAUCAACGAGAAGAUGGUGACAAGAACAUUGUUACUUGCUCUACUGAAUCCCUUGUUAAUCAAGGUCAAUAGUCAGGAUAUACAUAAAAUGAUAAAGAGUAAAAAGAACUACAACUUUCAGUAAAGACAUCGGAAGUCGAAGCAAUCUACAGUCUAUCACCAACCAUAUGGCCAAGGUUAUAAAUGAACUGGAUCUUGUUAACUUCGCACAAUGUUUACCAAGGUAUCAGCUCCUGCUUGAUGAUUCUUCCCUUGUGUGGAUAAUAUGGUGGGAUUUGUUUUGCUGCCAAUACAACCAGAGGAACAUUUUGGAGGUUGCGAAGAUGAACGAAGAAGAGUGGAAGAACUUGUCUGCGGAACAAAAGGCUCCCUAAGAAAAGGUGGUUAUAUGGAAGGAUAUAGAAGGCUGAAGGUAGAAGAAGCCAUGCGCGAGGAGAAAAGGAUAAAGAAGCUCUCAGAAUUCUCAAAAAAAAGAAAACCAACAAUGUCACUAAGGAAGCUAAAGGAUCCCUUGAAGACUUAACAACCCGUAUCUGCCUACGCAAUCUAUGGUAACGAGAGACGAGUGCUGCUUUACGAGAUGAUAAGCAAUUUUUGAGUUUGCGAAGAUGAACGAAGAAGACUGGAAGAACAUGUCUGCAGAACAAAAGGCUCCCUAGGAAAAGGAUAUAAUAGACUGAAGGUCGAAGAAGCCAUGAGCGAGAAGAAGAGGAUAAAGAAGCUCUCCAAAUUCUCAAAAAGAGAAAACCGAGAAUGUCACUAAGACUUGGUAGCUGGACUAGAGAAGGAAUUAUUUGUUCUCGGUGGACGACUCUUAAUGCAUAAGAGAAAAAGCCUUAAGGGGAGAAGUACAAGGCAGAGAAGGAAGCUUAUCUCAAGGUUAUUACAAAGGAGAAGUACAAUGGAGCUGCACUUAAAUUGUUCCAAAUAUGUCUUGGAGUCUGAGAAUGUGAAGAAGUUCUUUGAUUACAUACAGCUUCCUAUUUUCAACCAAAACAGAAAAGCAAACUCUUAAAAACUCCUUCACGCUAGUACUUAUCACUCCCUCUCAUGAAAAGCCUUUCUCUUGGCAGAAAAGCAAAUUCUCAUGUAUCAGUUUGAUACAUAUAUGUGGCAUACGGAGAGAGAUUCGCAACCGUUAAGAGACUUGAAGCUAACUAGAAGUCGAAGUUGUGGAGCAGAAUUUGUCAAAUCAUCUGAGAGAAGUCUGGCAACACAUCAAGAAUGAAAGGUUGUUGCAGGGAGAAGGAUGCCAACAACUUGGUUCAAAUGGCGGAUGCUACUCUAGAAAAGUGUAGAGCAUCAAUAAGUCAGAACAGAACAGAGAAGACUGCUGCUUAAAAAGACAAGCAAAUCAAUUAUCAUUGGGAAAUGGAAUAGAAGCUCUUGGCCUUAGUUUCAACACCCAAUACAAGACUACUUAGACACGCCCUUGAAUUGGCCGGUGGAGUUCAUGAGGCUAGAAGUUCAUCGAAUCUUUUGCCAAAAAUUGCAACAAUGGACACAGUUUGGCCUUAAUCUCCAGUAGUGUCACUUAUACGAGAGUCUGGGAAUCUUAUAAGGUUGAGAUCUCAUUUCUAAGAACAUGGUAUCCAUCCCUUGAGGGAAAGUAUAUUCCCUUGAAGAUUGACAAAAGAUCUAUCUUGCGUUAUGUAUUUCCGGAGAGCAAAGACAUUGACUAUUUCUCUUUCUUUAAAAGGCUUAUAAUAUGCUCAUUUACUCUUUUAGAGUUUAUUCAUAUGGAACUUACGAACAUUUUAAGGACUGGCCUGACUCAAUUGAUGGGAAUGGCUUCCAAAUCAUGGUAAAAUCUUUCAGGCACAGCUUCUAUAACAAUGCCGGAGCUUUGGUUGGAGUUUACAGAGACGAGGAAGCUAAAGGACCGCUUGAAGCCUACAUAAUUCAUAUCUGCCUACCUAAUCUAUGCAAACAAGAGGAGCAUUUUGGAGAUGAAUUGUGAGUACAUGUUGCGAAGAUGAACGAGAAGAGAGGAAGAACUUUCAUGCCGUACGAAAGGCUCCCUAAGCAAAGGUCAUGUCCCAUAUCAAUCGUGUAAAGCAAUGAAAAGUUCAUAAAACAAAAUUUCUAACUUGUUUGCAUAUUAUUGAACAAGGAGAUAUAUAUGGAAGGAUAUAAAAAGCUGAAGGCAGAAGAAGCCAUGAGCGUGAAGAAGAUGAUAAAGAAGCUCUCCAAGCUCUCAUGGAAGAGAAAUCAACAAUGUCAUUAAGAAAGAAACGAGAAAGACAAAUGUAGCUCCAUAUUAGAUUCAAUGACCAAUCUCAAAUCUCUGCAACAAUCUAGAAGAUGAUGGUACUCUUUUCCGUUGAAGAUCGAUGACAAGGAAAAGACAGAGGAGGAGGAACUCGAAACGCUUAAAAAACUACAAGUCGUGAAGGAACUGAAACCUAACAUCUUCGUUUCUCAAGGGUCACAAUUUAAGCUACCAAAUAAGUCUUGCAAGGGAGCGAUCCCAAUCCAGAUGUAAUAAGAUACUUUGCUGGAAAUUUCACUUCACUGAUCUGGAUUCUUUCGAUCUCAUUAGCUGCUGUCAACCCUGGUGAUGGUAAGAACCUUUUUUCCUUGAAGAUCUCAAGAAAAGCUACAAUUUUUGCUUCUAGAUUACAUUUUGUCUCACUGAAUUUAGAGUGAGAUCUGUGCAUAUUGGUUGAGGAUUUUUAGAUUUUCUUCAGAGAUAACAACAACUCUGAGUUAUCUCAUCUAUCAUUGAAUCUUUCUGUUAAAUUCUAUUUUGAACGGUCACGAACUGUAAAUGCUGCAAGGAGAGCUUGGUGACAACUUAGCUAAGUUCACUUCUAUCAGGGGAAUAGAUUUCAGCAACAAUCGCAUUGGAGGAAGCAUACCUCUUAAUUUGUCGGUUACAUUGCAGCAUUUGUAUGUAUGUAUACACUUAACAAUGUAUUUUUUAUAGGGUUUGUUGCUUUGAACAGUUAGUAUGUAUACAGCCAAUCAGUUCACCGGAAGCAUCCCGGAAUCUAUAGGAAUAUUUAGUUUUCUAAAUGACAUGUCUUUGAAUAAAAACCUUCUCUCGGGAAAGCUACCUGACGUGUUUCAAAACCUUGUCUGGUUGAUUAAUCUGUAUGAUUCUUCUUGUUUAUAGUUUGUUUUCUUUCGGGUAAUCAGUUCACCGGAAGCAUCCCAUAAUCGCUAGGAACAUUUAGUUUUCUGAAUGACAUUCUUUGAACGAUAACCUUCUCUCAGUAGAGCUACCUGACGAGUUUCAAAACAUUCUCGGGCUGAUUAAUCUUGAUAUAUCAUCUAACAAUCUAAGCGGCACAUUUGCUCCUUCAAUGGAGAAUUUAUCAACUCUUACAACAUUACGUGUUCAGAACAACCAGCUCUCACGAAAUCUGGACGUUCUUAAAGGGCUAAUGUAAUGCCCCUCACCUAGACUAUGACUAGGCCGGGUGGAGGCUAACACCAAAAGAUGAAUCAGAGCCAAAAGACCAUAAGGGAAUCGAAUGGAGCUAAGUAAAGACUUGUCCUAGAAAAGUUAGGGAAAGCAUCGAGGAAGCUUGAAGGAAGAGAUAGCAAGAUCGUUAGGAUUAUAAGGAGAAACUCUCGUCGGAAACUCAAAAAGGCCAUCACCGAAAGGUAAGGUGGUUGGACUUAUCAUACUUGGGCAAAGUAAAGGAUGUGUAUUGAGAAUAAAUGGUUUUUGGGCGAGGGAUAUAAAAGUUGGGCGAGAGAAAAUGAGUUUGGGACGAAGGAAUGCAUAAUUGGCCAAAACGGACGACCCGCGGACGAUGCAUAAUCGAUCUGCGGUGAGCGACGGACCAUCCGGUACGAUUUAUGUACGGCCUGCGGACGUGUGCUCGUCCUAUACGGACGUGUGCUUGGACCGUGAGGACGUGUGCAUGGACUGUGAGGACGUGUGCUCGGACUGUGCGGACGUGUGCUCUGCUCCGUGUCCGUUCAAGGCAACGACACGCCUGCUGCCUGCCUGCCUGCUUCACCAGAAGCUGCUGGGUGUCGCCACCGGAAGCGGUGACUCAGCGACACAUGUCGCCAGCGGAGGCAUGACCAGUGGCGAGGUGGUUGCGCAGCAGCUUAGAAACCGACUUAGUAACCCUAUAUAAACUCUCGUCGUUCAUUUGAAAUUCUCAACCAAAAAUAACAAAUGACCUUAGUAUUGUUGAGAAGAAGUUCCGAGAAAAAUUCCGAGAAAAGUUCUGAUUCCGAAAGUUGAUAACUGCUUAAGAUGAGUGAGAUACCUAUGAAACCAAGGAGUAGUAGAAUGAGUCGUUUCCCGAGAAUGCGUGGAUCUCCGGUAAGUUCCGGACAUGUGUCGUAGCACAUGUUUAGGUGUUUAUUCAUUCAAAUUAAUUAUGAAAUUACUAAUAGAGGUUAAUGUAAUCAUACUUAGUGAUAUCUGUGAUUGUUUGACUUGUUGAGUUAUAAUGUUAAUGCAUGAUGUUCAUUUUUA